AUGGCGAUGCCGCUGAGUCCGCCGGCGCUGGUUGACGAUGCCAUGCGCGCGGUCUUCAUGCGCCUGCUGGCGGACGACCCCAGGAGCCUCAUCCGCGCCGCCGCCGUCUGCAGGGGCUGGCGCGCCAUCCUCUCCGACCCCGGCUUCGCCCGCGGCUACCGCGCUCUCCACGGGGCGCCGCCCAUGCUGGGCUUCCUCCACAACGAAUACCGCAGGGGCAACCGCUUUGUCUCCACCUCGACCUUCCGCCGGCCGGCAUCCCAUGACCACCGGGACUGCCACGUUCUUGAUUCCCGGCACGGCCUCACCCUCCUCUACGCCCCUGGGUACCAUGCCCCGUUUGAUGUCUGCGACCUCGUCACCGACAACUGGCGGGAGAUCGACGACGACCCCAAGUGCCACGACAUCAUGCACUGGCCAGGCGACGACCCCGACGACUAUUACAACGGCAGCAUACACUGUAAUGCCACGGUGUUCUGCGCCAUAGACCGAUGUGACCACCUCGACUGCCAUGGUGGCCCUUUCCUCGUGGCCCUGGUGGGCUCUGCGGAUGAAGGAAGCAUUACCCUCGCCACUGUCUACUCGUCGGAGACUCGUCAGUGGAGCGACAUGAUCUCCGUUCAGACCCCGGGUCUUCAAAUCGAUACCGGAGGGCGCACUGCUGUGGUGGGAAAUAAUAAGGUCUAUGUCCCCAAUUAUGAGGGUGACAGUGUCGUGGAGUACAGCAUUCGUGAGCAACAACUGUCUGUGAUCAAGGCGCCAGAGAUCCUGGACCAGGGAUACCUUGACCUCCUGGGUGUGGAGGAUGGCAUGCUGCUGUUUGCGUCAGUGCGCAAGCCUAGACUCUAUCUAUGGUCAAUGGAGGCUGGUCCUAGAGGAGCUGCGGCAUGGGCACGGCGCAGGGUCGUCGAGCUCGAGCCGUUGCUCCCUCCUCGUGCCCUCUUGGACAUGUCGAGCUCGGAUGUGUGGACGGUUGGUUUUGCUGAAGGAGUUAGGGUAAUCUUCCUCAGAACUCCGGCUGGGUUGUACGCAGUUGAGCUUAAUUCAGGCCGAGCCAACAAGAUGGGUGAAUUUAGCAUUGAAAAGGUCAUGCCCUACACAAGGUUCUGCAUUGGAGGUACAUAA
rnacentral:rRNA from 1 species